ensembl:lncRNA
GGGCGCGGCGCGGCUGGGUGGGCACGGAGCAGGUCGAGGAGAGAGGAGUGUCUUCGGCUUUGGGAGCCUGGAGUUUUCCUUUGGGCCCAGGGUGGACGCAAGGUUCGUUCUGGUACCGGAAUGGGAGGUGGCGAGGUGUCUGUCCAAAGACCAACGCCAAGAAUAGAUGAGGGAUGCGGGGCUGGGCUCAGUGGUACCAAGGCUCGGACUUGGAAGUAAAACUUUCCUCUUUGGUGAGCUUGAGGUUUGACUUUGAGAAGGUAAGUGUAGGACCUGAGUGGAGGUGGAGUGGGGAGUCUUGGCUGUACUCUGGCGGUGAAAUUCAACGCCAUUAGGUUCACUGUUGCUCUGUUAAAAGGGUCUUUUGAGUUAUGGUUCUGUUCGAGUUUGCUAUUAUCUGUUAUGAUCACUUGGGGUUUAAUGAGUGGUGUUUCCUUUUGAACAUAUCAGUAACCUAUAUUGUUGAAGUAUGCAUAAUUAUUCAUUUCUUUUACAAAAAAAGACUUAUUUUGCUUAUUCCAAGGGUAGAAACUUUAUGGAAAAAACAGUUCUAUGAACUUUAGCUUUAUUCACUCAGUUCUAACACUACCAUAAGGAGUGGGUAAUAUGAGGAAAUCCAGACACAGAGCGGUGAAGUCAUUUACCCAAGGUCGCAGGGCUUUAAAUGUUAAAGACCAGUUGAGCCUUCGGUGAACUCUAAACCAACAUAUAUAUUUUUUUCAUAAAAAUAGGACUUCAUUGUACUGUCUUUUUUCUUAUAUAUUUGAUAUAUUGACCGCAUUUCUACCAAGAUGAACCUCAUAACUAUGUUCUACGUGUUGGGGACAAUUAACAUUUUCCUAAAUUUUAAUGGCAAUUAUGGCAACUAUCCUUUGAGCCUUUUCCUUUUGCCAAAACUGACCGUUUCCUACAACAAUUAUGCUUUAAAGUAGUAUUUAUCAGCUAAAUUAAGAUUUUCAGCAGGUAAGAUUUAUCUAUCAGCAAAGUCAAUUAUUAUAAAGCAGGCACCUGAAUCUAUAUAUUUGUUUGCACUUAAUUUUAAACUUCCUAAGGUAUUAGUCUGUUACUUUGCUCAAAGCAGGGCCAUCAUUUCCUUCCGAACCCCAUCUUGCAGAAUUUUUGAGCAAGUUUAAUCAUCUUUAAUUCAAUCACUCUGACAAGAGCUUAGGCAGUUUUAAAAGAAGAAUUAUGCAAUUCUCUUUCAACUCUCAGUGAUUAGAAGCAGGCUAUAUUGCGAGGGUGUUCGUGUAUGUCAUGGCUUUUCACCAGUUGUAUGUGCUUUAGACAAAGUUGUAUAGCAGUGAAGACGGAAAUCACAUUUUUUCAUUAGUACUAAGCUGAAAUACUGUAAACGUCUCCACUUGUUCUAAAUGAAUCAUGAUGUGAAGAAAGGUCUCAGUGGGGUAAAGCCCAUCUGCACGUAUUUAGAGAAUUAUGUCUCAUCUGAGUUUAUCAUGGAGCUCUUAAUAUUUGUUUUAUUAGACAGAUAUCUCUCUUAGGUCUUCAUCUGUUAUUUUUUCAAGUAAAUUUAAUUGCUGUUUCACAUAAUGAGUUUCAAAAUUAUUCUGACAUUCAUAGAUUUCCUUAAGUCUGGUUUUCAGUUUCAUUAAAUUCAGUAUACAUAUAUCAAAUCCAUACUAAUUCAACAUUACAUGUGAAAAAAGAGUAGACUCUAACUGAACUACAGGGAGACAUGAUCUUUGGAUGUGAAAAGAAUUAUCUUCAGUAGUUAAACUCUUCCACAUCCCAAGGUAUUGUCCAUCUCUAUUUGGGGGUGCUAGAGAGUACUGCAGUCAGGAAGGUUGCAUUCCAUCAGGCACACACUUUUUUGAUAUUGAAAUUGAACUUUCCAUGUCUGUUUAUAUAAAGUGUUGAUGGUUAUCAAGGCAUAAAUCCUAUGGAGUGUCCAUAUAUCCUUUCUUAACUGACUCAUCUGUUCCAGUUUUCCAGUUUCUGUUACUUAUUUUAGAAAAAGCAUUCUCUCACUACUUUUAUCUCACCUGGGAGAUUUGACAUGACUUUUUCCCUUCAAGUCCCCUGCCUCUAGUUUCGGGAGAACUGUGUUGUCUCUGCCUCUUGAGAGGCUCUUUGCUGCAGGGUCUGGGCGGAGAACUGAGGUUGCAUGGUGAGCGGAAAAAAUGAGAGCGCCCUGCCAGCCCAGGGGCCAGACUUCAAUCCAAUUGUCAUACACAUAAAUGGAGUUCCGAAAGAAGGAAUGCAGUAAGAAUGUGUAAUAAAGGAUUCCGGACAAGACAGGGAGGUUUGGAACAAGAUGCAUUAGAAGUCCCCUGUUUACAGAGACAUAAUGUAUGAGGAGAGGUUUACUAAGAUUUAUUUUUUUUAAUUAAUUUUUAUUUGGUACCUAGUUGCUUUACGAUGUCGUGUUAGUUUCUACUGUAUAGCAGAGUGAUUCAGACGUACAUAAUACAUAUGUGUGCUCAUGCUCAGCCAUGACCAACUCUUUGUGACCCCUUGGACUGUAGUCCACCAGGCUCCUCUGUCCGUCAAAUUUUCCAGGCAAGAACACUGGAGUGAAUUGCCAUUUCCUUGUCCAACAGAUACACGUAUCCCCUCCCUUUUGGACUUUCUUCUCAUUCAGGUCACCACAGUGCAUUACGUCGAGUUCCCUGUGCUAUCCCGUGUGUUCUUACAUGCUUUCCUCAGUGUUUUCUGGAUUAGAGACCUGUGUCUCCCUCUAGUUACCUUUACACAUUUCUAGUCACCAUUAGAUACAUUAUUUCCCCUCAUCAUACACCUUUGGUCAUAGAGAAAAUCACAAAAAUCCUUUUCACAGUACUUUUUACAGCCUGUAGAGAGCAUGUACUACCCUUCCCUGGUUAUUACUCUUAUUUUCGAAGAGAUAUUUAAAUUUAAUGAAGGGUAACCAUUGUCUUUCUUUGCCUUAACAACAACUUUGAAUUUUAAAGAAAUAGUUGUGUGUGUUUGUGUGUAUAUGUGUUUGCUUGUUGUUAAAGUGGCAGGAUGUCUCAAAAUAGAAAUGUAAUUGAUUUAUCACACAUCCGUAAGAUUCCCAGAAGUGUCUGUAGGAAGAAAAGAGGCACCAGAGUAAGAGAGGUGAGCUUAAGUGUUGAGUGUGCUGAGCAAAUGUGUAUUAAUAACGUAAAGCAAACAUAAUAAUAACUAAACUCAUUGACUACUGUGUGCCAGACAUCUUCUGUGGCUCUAUAUAGAGUAACUCAGGUAUUCUUCACAGUAGCCAAAUGAGGGCUGCCUGUAUUACCAUUACCCCCAUUUUACAGAGGAGGAAACUGAGGCAACGAGCAGGACGGUAAUCAUGGCCACUGUCACACAGGUAGAAAUUCUGAAUCUAAUAUUGAUUCUUUAGUUCAUGCUGUUAACUGGUAACAUGUAAUAUCUGAUUCAUAGUUUUAUUAAUGCAUUAAGUCCCCAUCAUUGUUAAAAAUCAUAACACCUCCUCAACUGAUCGUUUGGUUAUUUUCCUGCAAUUCAAACAAGUGAAAAAACUUAUAACUUCCCUUAUGUCAGUGCUUUUUGCUCCAUAUUUUACAUGCAAAUUAUCUAAAGCAAGGACAGGUAUUGAUAUAUAAAUGCCUAAAGCCUGGUAACUGCUGGAUUAUGGGGAAUUUCUCAUUAUAUAUUAUAUAUUUUUGAAUUCAAAAAUAGUAACUUCAGCACCAUUUGAAACUACUGAAAUUUCUAAUAUCACAGAUAUAUACUUUGGCAUUUCAAAUAAUUAGGUAAAUAUCUUUAACAGUCUGAAGUUCUAUGACCGUUAGUAAACUUAAGAAUUUAAAGUCAUCUGUUUCAUCUACCCCCAGUGUUGUUGUUCAGAGUACUGUAUACUGAAAAAGGGAUAUAAAAUAUAAUAUAAAAACACCUGUUGAAUUACCUUGGUACAAUUUAAAAGUCCAUGUUAAUCUUUUUAUUUUUUUAUUUUUUUAAUUUUAAAAUCUUUAAUUCUUACAUGCGUUCCCAAACAUGACCCCCCCUCCCACCUCCCUCCCCACAACAUCUCUCUGGGUCAUCCCCAUGCACCAGCCCCAAGCAUGCUGCACCCUACGUCAGACAUGGACUGGCGAUUCAAUUCUUACAUGAUAGUAUACAUGUUAGAAUUCCCAUUCUCCCAAAUCAUCCCACCCUCUCCCUCUCCCUCUGAGUCCAAAAGUCCAUUAUAUACAUCUGUGUCUUUUUCCUGUCUUGCAUACAGGGUCGUCCUUGCCAUCUUCCUAAAUUCCAUAUAUAUGUUAGUAUACUGUAUUGGUGUUUUUCUUUCUGGCUUACUUCACUCUGUAUAAUUGGCUCCAGUUUCAUCCAUCUCAUCAGAACUGAUUCAAAUGAAUUCUUUUUAACGGCUGAGUAAUACUCCAUUGUGUAUAUGUACCACAGCUUUCUUAUCCAUUCAUCUGCUGAUGGACAUCUAUAAUCUUUACACUGGGAACUUAUGACAUGACUCAUAGUUAUUUUAACUAUUAGUUACUUAAAAUAUUAGUUAUUUUAAAGUAAACUUAGUUAUUUUAAGUAUUAUCCAGAUAAUAAAAACACAUGGCACAUGUGAUUAGUAAGGUAGAGCACUAAUGGGUUAGGUGUGCUAAUGCAUGUAAAGGUUUAUGCACAGUGUUUGAAGAUAUCAAUCAGUGUUAUUGCUCCCUGAAAGUACUGGGUCAUAUGUAGCUGAUACGGGCUUCCCAGGUGGCACUAGCGGUAAAGAACCCACCUGCCAAUGCAGGAGACGUAAGAGAGAUGAGUUCAAUCCCUGGGUUGGGAAAAUUGCCUGGAGGAGGGGAUGGUAACCCACUCCAGUAUUCUGGUCUGGAGCAUCCCAUGGACAGAGGAGCCUAGCAGACUACAGUUCAUAGUGUUACAGAGUCAGACAGGACUGAAGCAAAUUAGCAUGCACACAUAGGCAUUUGAUAUGAUUAAUGUUACUGUUAACGAUGACUCACAAGUAAUACUGAGUGCAUAUAUACAAAUACUCAACUAUCUUCUUUGAAGUUUUUGGAAACAUUCUAGGCAAUGUGUACAUUUUCUGUAACUCAUGGAGAAUGUGAUACAUUAUUUCUCUAUAUGCUCCCCACCAUACAAAGCAUCACAGAGUAAUUAAUAAAAUGUUAUUCCGAUUUAUAUCAUAAGGAAAGAGACUCAAAGCUUGAUUGUGUGUGUGUGUAUGUGCUAUCAGAGUGGAAGUUACCAUCAUAUACAACAAUGAAUAAUUCUUUAAUUGUAGUUUACAAUUUGAUGCCACAGUGCACUAUCCUAUUGCAAAGAGUUUUGUGUGUUUAAUGUAAACACAAAAUAUGUUACUCAGUUACAAUACUUUAGGUUAUUCAGUCAUAGCAAACAGCUAAAAUCUUGGUUACUGAAAUGAGCAUAGAUUUAUUUCUUGCUAAUGCGUUCUGCCCUGUUGGCCAAUAAAACACAAAAUAUGUUACUCAGUUGUAAUAGUUUAGGUUAUUCAGUGAUAGCAAACAACUAAAAUCUUGGGUACUGAAAUGAACAUAGAGUUAUUUCUUGCUAAUGCUUUGUGCCCUGUUGGCUAUUUUACAUCUUCCUCACAUGGUAACCCAGGCUCAUAAAACCCCUGUCAUCUACAGCAUCCCCAUCACUGAUUCAUCAAACACAUGGAAACAUGGUGGGUCACUCACAAAUUCUUAAAAGGCUUCUAUCAGAAGGAGCAGCUGCUGCUGCUACUCAUAUUUUAUUGGCCAGAGCAAGUCCUAUGACCACUCCUAACUGGAAGAUGAAAGAGAAGUGCCGUUUUAUCAGAUAACUCAGAUGGAAGUAAACUGCGAUAUUAGUGAACAGACCUGAUUGUUCCCGGAUGGAUUUAUCCAGUUCACGUCAAUAGUUUUUAUCACAUAAAGAUGACUUAUGAUUUUAUAUAACAAUUGUGUUUUAGAAUUUCAACCUAGAAAGGCAAUUCCUGCAUUAAACCGCCAGCAAAGGAAGUAGAGUCUAAACUUAUAAAAUUGAUGAUAUCCCUCUUUGUCAGCGGGGGUUGGAUUUAGUCAAGGAAUGUCAAUAAAACUCUGAUUUGAAUAAAUGCAGGAGAUAGCCUUUCUGACAACAAGCACAAGUCAAGAACGGUGCCAAGAUCUGCAGUGUAGCUGUGUUUUCCGAACAGAUUUGAUAGUAUCAACAUGAUACAGAAAACUGAACAACCACGUGUGUGUCUUUUUGUCACCUGCACCAACAUGAACAGAAGUGUUAAGUGUGUUACCGUAUAUUGUUAUAAAAAGUAAUACAGGUAAACAUAUCAAUCAUACUGUAUGGUUAUUUUACAUUGACAAACAUAACCUGAAAAGACAGACUAUAUCUAGUCCAUGUGUUUAAUGCUAUAAAUUUCCUGGAAGCACUGCUAUUGUUGAGUCCCAUAUAUUUUGGUAUGUUGUGUUUUCAUUUUAAUUUAGCUCAAGUACUAGUUUCAAAAUUUCUCCUGAGAUUUCCUCUUUGAUCUGUGGGGUUAUUUGAAGGGUGGCAUUUACUUUCCAAAUGUUUGGAGAUUUCUCUGUCAUCUUUCUCUGUUUUGGUUAGAGAACCUUAUUUCUUGUGUUAUCUUUCUCCAUUUUAGUCAGAGAACACACCGUGUAUGAUUUCAGGCUUUUAGAAUUAGUUUAGGUUUAUGUUAUGGCCCAGAAUGUUGUCUGUCUUGGUUUAUGUCCCAUGGGCACUUGAAAAGAGUGUGUAUUUCACUGUUUUUUGAUAGAGUGUUAUAUAAAUGCUCGUUAGAUCCUGUUGGUUGAUGGUGCUGAUAAAUUUUUGUAUGUCUUUACUAAUUUAAUGUCUAGUUGUUUUAUUCGUUAUUGAAAUAAUUUGUGAAAUUUCCAAUUAUAAUUUUUAUUUCUCUUUUUGCAUCUAUCAGUUUGACUAUACUUUGCAGCUCUCUUGUUUGGUAUAUAUAAAUUUAGGAUUGCUAUGACUUGGUAUAUUGAGUAUUUUAUCCUAACAUGAUACUCUUCUUUAUAUGUGAUAAUUUUAUUUGCUUAAAGUCUACUGAAUCUGAUAUUAAUAUAGACAUUCCUUUUUUUAAUUUGAUUGAUGUUUACUUGAUUUUUUUUUAACUUCCUGCUUUCAGCCUGCCUGUAUCAUUAUAUUGGAUCUGAAUUCUUUGUUCAUACAUUACCAGUGGGUUACAUAUUUUAAUUGAUUUUGCAAAUCUCUAUUUUUUCAUUUGUAUAUUUACAGAUUUACAUUUUAUUAAGACUGUAUGUCUGCCAUUUUAAUUUUGGGAUUUUUUUCCUCUCUGUUUUUGUUUUAGUUCCUCUGAGUUUUUUCCUUCCUAUCAGUUACUUGAGCAUAUAUAGAAUUCCAUUUCUAUUUAUCUGUAAUGUUUUUAAGUGUAUCUAUUCAUAUAGACUUUUAAUGAGUACUCUGAGUAUUAUAUCAUGAUACAUAUAAUUUAUCACUGCCUACCACUGUUGUCAUUUUUUCAAUUACAGUGAAGCAUAGAAACUUUACCUUUUUUUAUGUAUCUUUAUCCUCUUCCAUUAAUAGUAAAAUUCUCUAAACUAUUUCCUCUACAUACAUCUGAAACUGUUACAACUUUUGUUUCAACUGUCAAACACAGGUCAGAGAGCUCAAGAGGAGCAAGAAAAAUUCAUGGUUUCUGCUGAUAUUUUCACUUACCAUGUUCUUUCUUCUUGAUAUUCCAACAUUCUUCUUUUAUUGCUUUCUUUUUGUUUCUAAACCUCCCCCUAGCCUUUCUUUUAGAGCCGAUAGGCCCCCUCUUGACAAUAUGUCUUUGUUUUCCUUCAUCUAAGAAUGUUUUGUUCCCCUUCAUUCCUGAAGGAUAUUUUAACUGGAUACAGGAUUCUGGGUUGACAGUUCUUUUUUUUAAGCACUCAAAAUCUUGUGCCACUUCCUUGUGGUCUCUGAGUUUGCUAAUGAGAAAUCUUAUUUUGUUCUAAUUGGUUUUCUCCAAUAGGUGAAGUGUGAUUUAUCUCUUGUUCUUUUCAAGAUUUUUGUUUAUUUGUUCUUAGUUUUCAUAAAUUUGACUAUGCGGAAUCUUGGUAUGUACUUUUGAGGUUUUCUGUUUGGUGUUCAGAUUCAUGAGUCUAAAGACUUACGGCUUUUGUCACCAUCUAAGAAAUUCUCAUCCGUUAUUUCUUUGGGUACUUUUUGAUCCCUGUCCAUUUUCUUUUCUUCUCCCACGCCUCUGAGACUUGAAUAUGAGGUCUUUUGUUAUAGAGACACAAUGUGUUAGUUACCUAUGGCUGCUGUAACAAAUUACCAAAAACAUGGUGCUUUACAACACAUUUAUUCUCUUAUGGAGGGGGAGACUGGAAGUCAGAAGUCAGCUGCAAUGGGCUCAAGUCAAGAUGUCGGGAGGACUAGUUCCUUCUGACGGCUCCUGAGGAUGGUACCUCUCUUUCACGUUUUCUAGCUUCUGGAUCCACCAGUAUUCUGUGACUCACAGUCCCUUUUUCGUGUCACUCCAAUUUCUUGCUUCUCUAAUCACAUCUUCCACUUCAUUCUCUAUGGUCAACUUUCUUUUUGCCUCCUUCGUUUAAGGAUACUGUGAUUACAUUCAGGUUCCACCUGGAUAGUCCAUGAUAGUCUCCCUAUCUCAAGAUCUUUAAUUUCCAUCAUAUCUACAAAAUCCCUUUUGCUAUGUAAGGUUACAUUCACAGCUUCCAGGGAUUAAGGCCAACCUGAAUAUCUCUGGGAUCCCACCAUACAUGGGUUUCUGAGGCUUUGUUGUUGGUUUUGGUUUGUUUUCUCUAUUGUUUAGAUGGGGUAAUUCCAGUUGUUCUGCCAUACAGCUAACAGAUUCUUUCCUCAUCACUUUCAUUAAGUUAUUGAGCCCACCCAUUAAAUUUUAUAUUUGGUUAUUGAUAUUUUCUUCAGUUCUAAAAUGUCCAUUUAGUUCUUACUUGUAUGUUCCCUAUUUUAGCUGACACUUUCUACUUUUUCAUUUGUUCAUAAUUUCUCACUGAAGUAUUUGUUUAAAAAAUAUUUUAAAAGCUUUGCUGCUUUAAAACCUUUGUCAGAUAAUUCUAACAUUUCUCUCAUCUAAUUAUGGGCAUCUAUCAUUGUCUUUUUAUAUUCAGUUUAUGUAAUUGAUGUCCUUGAUUCUUGGUUUGAUGAAUGAUUUUCAACUGAAAUCUGGCCAUUUUCUUAUUAAGUUAAAAGACUUUGGAUCUUAUUUAAACCUUCUGUUUAAAUAAGAUCUUAUUUAAACCUUUUGUUUAAAUAAGAUCUUAUUUAAACCUUCUGUUUUAGCUAGCUCCCAGUAACAUCACCCCAGUGGGUGAAAUGAGAAUGAUGCCACCUCAUCACUGCCAGUGGGUACAGAAGUGAAGGCUUCUUACCCAGUCUCCCUUGUCAUGUGAUAAGUAAUAUGGAGGGGGCUCCAUAUUACUGUGGGGAAGAGAAUGAAUUCAGGCUCCUCACUAGGUCUUCACAGUUACCUCCCUUUCUGUUUCCCGUGUGGCUUCCCCUGGCAACAUUAGCACAGGGAGGUGGUCACUCCUGGGCCACAAUGAUAGUCCUUCCUCUCCAGUAGCCUCCCACUGAUACCACCCAGUGGGGAGGAGGAGGGGAGACUUGGUACUGCCAGGUGGGGGUGGAAGUUCAGGCUCCCCGUAUGGUCUCCACUGAUAACCUAGUGGAGGUGAGUGAUGGGAGUCUCACUACCACCCACUUGAUAGGAAUGAAAGUCCCAACUCCCUACUUGGUCUUUCGUGACAUCACCUUGAUGGAGGUAAGGGGAGUUGGGGUAUGCUGUUUCAGCCCGGUGAGGGUGACAGUCUAGGCUCCCUACUUGGCCUUUGUUGGUAUGGAUGGGGUGGGGCCACAUUUUUUUUUUUCUGUCUCAUAUAGCUGGAAGAAAGCAAUUAAUCAUUAUAAAAGUUUAUUUUUUUUGUUUGUUUUGCUUUGUUGCUCCUUUCUUGGUCCUUUGGCUGAAAGAGCAUGCUUUUGGUGGCCUGCCAUUUUUCAUCUGUGCCUUUUGGCAUAUCUGGGUUUCUGGUUUUGUAUUUCCUUAUCUGGUAAUAUAUGAAGCAAUGCAAAAAUCCAGGGAACUCACCACCAUUCAUUCCUUGGGCCCUGAGUUUCCCUACCUGGGUUUGCCUUCUCUCUAACUUUCAGUCUUUGUAAGUUUAUUUUAUGUGCCGUGUCCAGGGUUUAGGGUUGUACCUGGUGAAAAGAAGAGGGAAAAGUACUUUUGCUUCAUCUUCACAGAUGUCUACUCCACAUUUUUUAUGCAAGGGUAAAUUGAAAAAUAUCCCUCAACAUUGAUUCUCAGAGGAUGAAGCUCAGGGGAUUACUACUGAUCUGUUUCUGAAUAAUAACCACUUUACAGAUCAGCAGGAUGAGAGAGUACUUGGACAGGGAUGCAAAUAGGAUUACAGAACAUUCCAUCAGUGCUGAGGUUCAGGGAUCACGUGGAGGUCCUCUUACUCCUCCAAACCACAGCUUUCUCCUCUCCUGGGAAACCAUGACUGCAGGGUGUAGCAAGGUUGGAAACUUUCCCCAUUCUCAUAGGCUGUCUUUUCUGGCAGGAUUCUGGAACUAUACCGUCCGAGCCCUUCCUAAAUUCUCACAAAGUGUUUCAUUCCCAGGAACAUUAUCCAUCUGAAAUGCAAUUUUCAACCAGAAAGCAUGUGGUAAAAUGUGGCUUAGCUGGGAAGAAAACAGAGAACCCAAAAAUCCACAUUUAAACUCUUAAGAAGCACCUACCAGCGAGCACUCAUGUUAGUUUCAUUUCAUAUAAAAUUAUACAUUAAAAAUAAAUGUAUGGAUUUUGUCAAGUUGUUUGAUCACUACUCAGGAGAUUAAGUUCAAGAGAUGGGGCUGUAAGUUUUCUGCUUGAAACCAAUAUUCUGAGGAAGAAUAGUUGGUGGGGAGGCGAUUACAAAGAACUGUCUAGGGAAGUUCUCCCUAGAGACAAAUCGAGUUAAUGAUGUUGUAUUUAACCCUGAAGGUCUCACAGUAGUAGCGCAGUGGUUCUCAAACAGCGGUCCUCUGGCAGCAUCUGUACAACCUGGGAACUCUGAAUGCAGAUUUCUCAACAGUCUCUUGUGACAAGCCCUCCAGGUGCUUUCUGAUGCCUCUACACCUGGAGACCAAGAACCAGAGCAGCCUCUCCAAGCACUGAAGGAAACAUUAAAUGAGUGCUUUUCAUGAUUCUCUCUUUCUUUGUUUUGGCUGCGCUGGGUCGUCAUUGCUGUCCUCGGGCUUUCUCUAGUUGUGGGGAGUGGUUACCCUUCUUUGCAGUGCACGGGUUUCUCAUUGUGGUGGUUUCUCUUGUUGCCAGCACGGGCUCUAGGCCCGCAGGUUUCAGUAGUUGUGGUAUACAGACUUACACUACUCUGCAGCCUGUGAAUCCUCCUGGACCAGGGAUCAAACCCAUGUCCCCUGCAUUGGCAGAUGGAUUCUUAAGCACUGGACCACCAGGGAAAUCCCUUUUUCAUGAUUCUUGACUCAUCCAUUUAGGUUUUUAGAAAAUCUAUCUAGCAUGUUUAACAUUCAGCAUGUUUUAAGUAUACAUAUUUUUUCAAGGAAAUAUCAUAAAGAAAUUAAACAUUUAUCACCCCAAAGGGUCUCUUUCAUUGAAGAUAUCUCAGUGAUUUGCACAAUUGUUUUGUAUCCUUAACCCAAACAGUCGUGACUGCUGCAUGUCUCAUUCCGUGAUGGAAACCAAAAAAUGCAGCCACGCCUACACUUCCCUGCCUUGGUUCUGUGUAGCUGCUGAGUCUCACGUUAAUGGGUUUUUCUGGCUGUCUUCAUGACGUGUUCUGGGGCCGACACCAGGCAUGAGGAUAUUUGGAGGCGAGGGUGGGAGCGUCUCUGCAUCCCUUGAAGAAGAUUCAUUUUGGGAGAUCUUGUCACACAGUAUUGUUAGAGACAGACACAUAUGCAGAUGUCUGGAUUCAUCAUUGUCAUUACCACAGCAGCUCCACUAUGGGGGAUUCACUGUCUAUUGCAGGCUGGCAUUUUUCUCUGGGGUCAUAUGAGAUUAAAGGGAAUCUUGGCUCCAAGGUUGUCCUUAGGAAAGAGAAGCUACAUUCCUGAAUAAAGAGUUUAUAUUUGGGGUGCAGUUAUAAACCCCAGGAUGGAGUAAGACAAAAUCAAUUAAGAAGUAAAUGGUAAAAGAUGAAAAAAUAUUUUCUGAUGGUGAUAAAAUACAGAUAGAUUCCCCAGUGGCUCAGAUAGCAAAGAAUCUGCCUGCCAUGCAGGAGACCUAGGUUUGGUCCCUGAGUCGGGAAGAUUCCCUGGAGAAGGAAAUGGCAAUAACCCACUCCAGUAAUCUUGCCUGGGGAAUCCCCAUAGACAGAGGAGCCUGGCGGACUACAGUCCAUGGAGUUGCAAAGAGUUGGAUACGACUGAGCGACUAACACACCAUGGCAUAUAGUCCUAAAUACAGUUCAGUUUCAUUUUAUAUUAGUUCAUGUUUUCAAUUAGCAAUUCACUAAACAUAGAGAACAUAAUAGAUUUGAGUUUACUUAGACCCAUGACUUUGGAUGGCUAAUAUUUUAGAUUUUUGAUCAUCACAUUUUACUACAUGUAAUUUUUAAAUAUAUUUUUUGGUGUCUAUAAAUCAUAAAUUUCAGUUCCACAUACCUUUUACUCCCCACACCUUUUUAAAGGUGGCUUUCUUUUCUUUUUAUAAAUAAAUCUGGGGGAUGGGUCGAGAACAGUUUAUCUGCUUUUAAUUUAAAAUGACCCAUUCUGGGUACUUCCCUGGUGAUCUUCCAGUUAAGAUUCUGUGCUUCCACCGCCAGGUGUAUGGGUUCUCUGCCUGGUCAGGGAGCUAAGAUUCUGCAUGCUGCGUGGCCCUGCCAAAAAAAAAAAAAUUACUGGCACACAUUCUGGGUGCAGAAAAAUACUAUUCUCUUACCCUUUCAACAUCCCCCACUACCAGUUGUACUGUGUUUUUCAUUCCUUCUGUUCCCUUUGUGCCUUCAAGCUGAUUAUAUUUUUCAUUUACUCAUCCUGCUCGGGUGUUUAAAUGGUGGUGCCUCAACAUUGUUUUGGGGAGAAGACUUUUCCAAACCUUCAUUAUACAGUGUUUGUUAAAUAAGACCAUUUGGGCAGGUUGGAGGAGCCACUCCUUAGAAAACAUAUUUUGAAAUGUUGGAGCAGAUGUGUUCUCUCACACACACAUCCUUUAUAAAUAAAGGCCCCUGGCUCUGGUGGUACUAGUCAGAUGUGUUCUUUCUCAGAGGGAUCACUUGGCUGGCAUUUUUAAAUGUGGUGGUUUAAUCAUCACCGAAAUGCUUAGGUAAGGCUUAAAUAUGAAGACAAAUAGUUUCUCCACAAUAAAUGGGGGCAAGGAGAGGGGGAUUCAAGAAGGGAAGUGUCUUCUGCGGGCAGUCAUCCAGAUUUUCCCACACAGUGUUAGUCUCUAUUUAUACACACAAAAUGUGUCAGGUGAUUUUUUUUCCAUAUGCAGAUAAAUUCUGACUCUUCCUUUUAACCUAAACACUGCCCAAGUAAUGUUUACCAUGAGAUUGCAUUCGAAAUAAUAUUUCUGCUAAUGCUGCUAAACAGCUUUUAGGAAGUGAUAUAUGAGUCAGGUUGAUGUUGAAUCUUUGAUCAAACUAUGAAUCAGAUUUUCAAAACCGGAAAGCAUUUCAAAGCAUUUGACUGCUCUUUUUUGUUUUCCUCAAUGUCAGUGUGGUCUGUUUGUGCAUUUUUUCAUUUUCUUUGUUUGCUCUUCUUUUCCUUUUUUUUCUCCCCUUUAUUGGCUUAAGAAUUCUUUUUCCUCUUAUGACUUAUUUUUCUAGGAGCAUGUGACAUAACAGCUAUAAAUUAAAUGUUCUCAUUGUGUAAAUACCUCUAAUAUUUUAGACAUGAGAUUGAGAGUUGGUUCAUAUUUUUACAGUUUGCAUUCUUGAAUUGACACAAAAGAUAAACAUCAGUCUGCUCUGGAGUGGUUACAAAGGUGAGAUAAUCCCAUUUUACCCAGCCACCAUCAUCUAAGGGGAAAAAAUAUGGCCCUGUGAUUUCACUUGGUUGAGCAUGUGGAAUAUGUUUUGGUUCUGAUUUUAGGAUUAAGCUGGUGAUUAAGGGAGGGGAGAAGGUGACAUAUCAGUGCUUCAUUUCUUUCUUAGUCUCCAUCCUUUUGUCUGCUUGUGAGUAGAGCCUAAUCUGUGUCAGUUACCUUUGUUUUCUCCUACCAGUUUGUCUCCUGUCUCCAUCAUUUUGUUUGCUUAUUUUGUUUUGCUUUUCUCUUCUCUUCCCCCACUCCAUACCCCAGCUCCCAUCUAGCUGAGCUGAAAGACCAGCAGGGAGACGCAUCAGUUAUGAAACUAGAAACCUGUGAGCCCCUGGCUUGUGCUUCUCCAAGUUCUCACCAAACCCAUGGCAAGACCGUGAUUUUUGGUUUUUCUUCCUCCCUGGUUCAUCAGCCAUUCCACAUUAUUCCCUUGGAUUCAGUAUUUUAGAAUAUUCUGUGUUAGAACUCACCUUUGUCAUAAUUAGUAUUCACGAUACACUGCAGGGGCUUCCCUGGUGACCCAGUGGUAAAGAACUCACUUUCAAUGCAGGAGGUGAUCCCCUGGAGAAGGAAAUGGCAACCCGUUAGAGUAUUCUUGUCUGGAAAAUCUCAUGGACAGAAGAGCCUGGUGGACCACAGUCCAUGGGGUCGCAAAGAGUCUGACAUGACUUAGUGACUAAACAACAACAUGUCUUCUAUAUGUCUUUCUAGCUCAGUGGAGUUAUGAAAUGAGCCAUUCAUUUUUUAAUCAGUUUCAGAAUAUGUUUCAAGGACCACCUGUAUCAGAGUCAUCUGAGAUGUUUAUUAAAGCUAUGAGUGAAAGUGAAAGUGUUAAUAACUCAGUCAAGUUUGAAUCUUUGCAACCCCAUGGACUGUAGCCUGCCAGGCUCCUCUGUCCAUGGAACUCUCCAAGCAAGAAUAAUGGAGUGGGUUGCCAUUACCUUCUCCAGGGUAUCUUCCCAACCCAGGGAUCAAACCCAGCUCUCCUGCAUUGCAAGCAGAUGAUUUACCACUGAGCCACCAGAGAAGCCCCUGAACCCUAUCUUACAUCUCCUGAAAAAGAAUCUCUCUUACUGAUUUUAGGAUUUUUGAGGCUGACACUAAUUAUAGGAAUUAGUCCAGAUCUGUGCUUACAACCCAAGGUACCUUUUAUUUUUUUAAUUUAAUUUUUAUUGGAGUAUAGUUGCUUUUCAAUGUUGUGUUAGUUUCUGCUGUACAGCAAAGUGCAUCAGCUUUACAUACACAUAUAUUCCCCCUUUGUUGGCUCUCCUCCCCAUCGGUCACCACAGAGCACUAAUUAGGGUUCCCUGAGCUGUGCAGUAGGUUCUCAUCAGUUAUCUAUUUUACACAUAGUAUCAAUAGUGUAUAUAUGUCAGUCCCAACCUCCCAGUUCAUCUCCCUCUUUCCCCUUUGGUCUUCCUCUGUGUUUCUGUUUUGUAAAUAAGAUCAUUUGGUAGCUCAGUGGUAAAGAAUGCAAGAGACACGGGUUUGAUCCCUGAGUAUGGAAGAUCCCGUGGAGAAGGAAACGACAACCCAUUCUAGUACUCUUGCCUGGGAAAUCCCAUGGACAGAGGAGCCUGGUGGGUGAAAGUCCAUGGGGCUGCAGAAGAGUCAGACAUGACUUCGUAACUAAAUAAGCCCAACAACAUACUAUUUUUCUAGAUUCCACAUAUAUGCAUGAAUAUAUGGUAUUUCUUUUUCUGACUUCUCUCACUCUGUAUAACAGUCUCUAGAUCCAUCCACAUCUCUCCAAAAAAUCAGAAUGCAUGGAUCCAUCUCCAGGUUGUAACUUAAACAACCUGGUAUGAUUGUAACAUGCAGCCUCUGUUAUCAACCAGCAAAUGAGCUAUAGAAGUUGGAAGGAAAGACAGAGGUUGGUGCUGACACGGAAGCAUUACUUCAGUAUAUUCAUCACAGACCAGAGAUUGACCCUCAUUUAUAAAUUCAGAAACCAGAUCUUUUUCUCAAGGGCAUAGUCAUAUUAAGUAAGCUUAUGGAGACUGAGCUAUAAAUAAGGAUGCCAUUUUUAGAGUUAUCAUUGUGACUAGGAUCAGAAUGACCAGGGCAUUCUUACCCUAUAGGCAAGACUCUCUCCAUGGGAAGAAAAAUUGUCAGAAAUUUGCUCCUGGAAUCUGGAGACAGAGAAAGGGAAAUGAGUUGAAUUAAAGGAGUGAAAACAGUGGAGAAUGAUGAGGUGUCAGGAACUCUCCUAAAUGUUUCAUGUGUAUGAUUUCAUUCACACCCUCUCAGCAGUCCUUUGUGAUGGUGUUAUUGGCUCUGCUUUCUCUAUGAGAAAGGGUAGGAAAAGAGGGGCUACAUAACUUGCUGAAGAGGAAGAGCUGAAAUCCUCGCUGUGUGUGACUAAGUUAUUAGUGAACUAAGAAUGAAGCUACCAGAUAACUUUAGAGUUGCUGGGCCUCGCCAUCUGUGUUAAGAAAUCAAGUGGGGACAGAAUAGCUUCUAGUUGGUGGAGAAGAAGGGAAUGUAUCAAAGCACUGCCUGUCUGGGUAGGAUGCUUUCGAGUCAUGAGCAAUUAGGAUGAGCAGUCCCUUUCCCACCAUCGUACCUUGUGGUUUGUUUAUCUGAUCUCUCUGUACUUGUAAUUAAGUGAAAGAUCCAUAUGAGCAGAUUCUACUCUUAAUUUUUUUUUUCCUAAGGACACAUCACAGUCAUGUACAAAAAACUAAUCAUACAGCUUAAUAAGGGACUUUCCUGGUGGCUCAAUGGUAAAGAAUCCACCUACAGUGCAAGAGCCUCAGGAAAUGUAGGUUCAGUCCCUGGGUCAAGAAGAUCCCCUGGAGGAGGGCAUGGAAAACCACUCCAGAAUUCUUGCCUGGAGAAUUCCAUGGACACAGAAGCCUGGAGGGUUACAGUCCAUAGGGUUGCAAAAAGUAGGACACAACUGAAGCGACUUAGCACACAACGCACAUCUUAAUAAACAGUAAUAACUGUUAGUUGCUCAGUCUUGUCCAACUCUUUGCAGCCCCAUGGACUGUCGCUUGCCAGGGAUUGAACCUGGGUCUCCCACAUUACAGACAGAUUCUUUGCCGCCUGAGCCACCAGGGAAACCCAAUGAACAGUAAUAAGACAUAUUUAAAUAUAGUGGACAAGUUUGCACAAGUCAGGCUCAUGGAUGUCCCCAAAUCCUGAGUUAAUUUUGUCUCAGAAAAUAGAGUGAAAUUGACUAAAAACUUCGACUUGCUCCAAUGCAAGCAUGUUUCCUAUUAUUUGGGGGAGAAUUUCACGGAGCUCACAGUUUCCUGUGUCUCUCUUCUGAGUUUCUGCAUCUGCUGAAUGCCAGAUCACCACUCAGGGUUUUGCUUUCUCAGUAUGUGCCAGCUUUCCCACGAGGUCCCCCUGCCGUCAACCUUCCUUGAGCCUUUACCAGCAAGCAUCGCCUGUCCAUCAUACCUUGUGGUAUCACCUGAAGUAUCCUGAAGUAUCACCAGUCCAGACUGUGUGUUUGGCAGAUUUUGCUAUAGGAUUUGAAUAACAGCGUUGAGUUAUAGCACAGAAAUAUGAGAUACUUGCUAGUAUUACAACUUCCUCAAUCAUUUCUGAAAAUAGUUAUACUUUGUGUUUUUACCUUAGGCUUCCGCAGCUCUUUUCUUACUAGGUGAGAAAUGGAGUUAUUUCGAAAUGUAUAGAUUGAUCUCAAAGUGGCAGGUACACACUAAUAAAUCAUAUUUCUGACUUCUGUUUCUGUAAAUCCUAUUUCUGUUUUCCCCAGUUUAUCCACUAGGAACUGUCCUAUCACAUUCUUUUGUUGUUGUUGAGUCAUGUCCGACUCUUUGUGAUCCCAUGGACUGCAGUGUGUCGGGCUUUCCUGUCGCGUUCUUAGCACCUGUUGAAAUGUAACCCUUACUCUCUUGGGCAGAAAAAGCAAAUGCCUGCUAAGGGCAGACCUCCUAAACCCCUCAGCAUAUACAUCUUCCAUUGGUGAAUCCAACAGACAGAGGGUGUAACUGCACUACAUGGUCUGGGGCUGUUACUUUAAGACCAUUUGAAGUCAGAGAUGGCAAUCAUAACUCUACACUGGUGAUGGUUCCCCAUUCACUGAAAAGUGCUUAUGAGAAGCACAUAAUUUAAGAGUAGGAAACCCUAGGGCUCUCAGAAUGGAAAAAUAUUGUAUAUCCUCGAAGAGACAUCUUUCAAGAACAAAACAACUCUUUUAACUUCUUUUAGCUCAAACAACUCUUUCCAAUAUUAGAGAUAACUAGGAACAAUGCUUUAAUAGACAUGUUUUGUACCUUGAAGGUUAUAGUUUUCCCAUUUCUGCUCAUUUAGUGGAAAAAGGGUAGAAAUUUUCUGCUGUGAUGAGAAGGAAUGACAUUAUGGGAUAUAAACUAGGAAGUCAAGAUAGGAAAAUGAUACUUUUUUUCCCAUAAGAUGUGGUCACUGCUAUAAUCAGGAUGACUAUAGUGAAUGCAGUUCACUUGCUAGAUAUGACAAUCCACAGAAAACUAGAAGUUGCUUAAGAUUGGCGAUAAAAGUAACAGCCACUUUUUUAGAUUAUCAUGCAUUUACACAGACAGCUUUUGCAGCUCAAUUUUUCAGAAGUCUUUGCCUCAUAUCUUUUAAAGCUGCCAGGGAGUAUAUUAUUGUGAACUCGUUCUGUUAUACUAAUCAGUGUAUCCAUGACCCCAGAAAACACUGAUCAAGAUGGAUGCAAACCCAGAAGAUAAGCACAAAGUUUAGCCACAAAUAUAUACUAACAGUAAAAUUGACACUUGGAAAAUUAAAACAUUUAUAUGGUCAAAGCAUGUGUCAUCUUCACCUAGUGACAGAGUAAGAAGAACAUAUAGCAGGCCUCAGAGCAAACAUAGUAUUUUACUGCUAACAUCACUUUCUCUAGCAAUACCUAAAAUGUUACCUGAGCUCUGCCAGAUGCUGAACUGACAACUGAGUGAUUUGCUCUAAGUUCUCAUUAGAGAGCCAUCAGUCUCUUGCACAGUGAUGUUUCCACUGCUUCUGUAACUCACAGUGGGACUAGAGGAAGAUGAAGGGGUCCAUUCACCAGUGUCUGUGGGAAGGCUGGACCACUUGGAUUCGGUGGAGAAGUAUCACUCCCUUGUCCUCAGGGAGCUUACAUUCUACCUGGGAGAUACAAUUCAGAAGAGAAAGAGCUGGUGAAACAACAUGAAAUAAAGAAAGGCAAAAUUGCUUUGUUGUAUGAAAUAUGAGAAAUUUGGGGAAAUUUCUCAUAGAAAUCAUAAGAAUUGGGAAUGCUGUCAGGAGUUCUCUCACAAUGUCUUAAUAGCUUCCUUGGAUUAGAAAUCAAUAAUGGUGUGAAUAAGUGGGUAUCCCCAUUAAUUACUCUCUGCAACCCACCUCCGACCCUGGUAGUAAAGACCUAAACAGACCUUGCAAGACGCUACACUCCAUUUUUAGGGAAAUCUAUGAUCAUGUUAUGUUUGUCCUGCUGCUGCUGUUGCUGCUAAGUCGCUUCAGUUGUGUCCGACUCUGUGCGACCCCAUAGAUGGCAGCCUACCAGGCUCCCCCGUCCCUGGGAUUCUCCUGACAAGAAUACUGGACUGGGUUGCCAUGUCCUUCUCCAGUGCAUGAAAGUGAAAAGUGAAAGUGAAGUCACUCAGUCAUGUCUGACUCUUGGCAACCCCAUGGACUGCAGCCCACCAGGCUCCUCCAUCCAUGGGAUUUUCCAGGCAAGAGUACUGGAGUGGGGUGCCAUUGCCUUCUCCAUAUCUUUGUCCUAAUUCCACAUCAAAUCAGAGAAAAGUUAGGGACCCAGGAGACAUAGAUGUGAAUUAGCCACAAACCUUAUGUGUCAUAUUGAUGGUUCUUAAAGAGGCGCAGGUUUGAUCACCAGCACCAGCACCAGCACCACCUGGGAAUUUGUUAGCAAUGUGAAUUCAGCCCCUGUUCCAGACUUACUCAAUCAGAAGCUCUGGGGGCCAGCAAUUCGUGCUUUCAAAUAAGCUUCAGGUGAUUCUGUUGCAUGCUUAAAAUUGCACUGAUGUUAUUAUGGCGUAAACCAUUUGAACGUAAUGUCUAAGGCACCCUUGAAGAAGAAAUGGGGUAAAGAAGUGUUUUAGUAGCCCACGAACUUCACCCUGUGUUGUAUUGGUAGUGGGGAGUGUGGGGGUUGGGAGUGUGGCAGUUGUCUCAUAUGUUGAUUGUCCUGAAAUGUUCACUUGUAAGCUUUGAGUGUUCGUUUAACAGUUUAACUAUUACAGGAGGCUCCCUCCCCCUUGCUUAAUGUCUUAAAAUUCUUCUUUGAGUUUGUGUGUGUGUGUGUCUGUUUGCUCAGUCACUCAGUGGUGUCCAACUCUUUGCAGCCCCCAUGGACUGUAGCCCGCCAGGCUCCCUCUGUCCAUGGAAUUUUCUAGGUAAGAAUACUGGAGUGGGUUGUCAUUUCCUACUCCAGGGGAUCUUCCCGACCCAGGGAUCAAACCUGAGCCUCUUGCAUAUACUUCAUUGGCAGGCAGGUUCUUUACCACUGGUGCCACCUGAGAAGCCCACGUGUCUGUUUAGGUCUGUGCAAUUUUAUUACAUGUGUAGAUUUGUGUAAUCAUCACUGUUGUUGAAAGAGAGAACAGUUUCAUCAGCACAGGGAUCCCUAGUGCCACCCUUCAAUAGCCACAUCUUCUUCUGUCCCCCUUCCCCCUCCCCUCCAUCUGUAACCAUUGGCAACCGUUAAUCUGUUCUUUAUCUCCAUGAUUAUGUCAUUUUAAAAAGGUAACAUAAAUGAAAAUAUACUAUAUGUAGCCUUUUGAGGUUUUUUGUUUGUUUUUGUUUUGUUAAAACAGCAUAAUUGGUUGGCUUAAGGUCUAAGUAGCUCAUUGCAUAUAACCAUAAUUCCUUUUUUAUUGCUUUAUUGUAUUUCAUAAUAUAGAUGUACCACAGUAAGUUUAUUUAGCCAUUCACCUGUUUAUGGACAUCUGGGUUGUUUCCAGUUUGGGGCUGUUACAAAUAAAUAUGCUUUGAAUACUCACAUAUAAGCUUGUGUGUACAUGUAAGUUUAUAUUUCUGUUAUGUAAAUGCCCAGGAGUACAGUUUCUGAAUGUUUAGUUUUGUGAGAGAUUGCCAAACUGUUUUCCAAAGUGGAUGUGUCAUUUUACAUUCCUGCAACACUUCAUGAGGGAUUUUUUCUUUGUAGCAUCAGCAGCAUUUGGUGUCAUCACUGUCUUAUUUUAGCCAUUCUGAGAGGCAUGUAGUGAUAUCACAUUGUGGUUUUAAUUUGCAUUUCCUUGAUGAUUAAUGAUUUGCUUCUUUGCCAUCUACAUAUCCUUUUUGGUCCCUGGGAGCUCAGUGGGAAAGAAUCCAUCUGCCAAUGCAAGAGACACGGGAUUCGAUCCCUGAGUCAGGAAAAUCCCCUGGAGAGGGAAAUGGCAACCCACUCCAGUAUUCUCACCUGGAAAAUGCCAUGGACAGAGGAGUGUGGUGAGCUACAGUCCAUGGGGUUGCAAAGAAUCCAACACGACUUAGUGGCUAAACGACAACAAUCCUCUUUGGUGAAGUGGUUUUUUUUUUUCAUGUCUUUUGCCCAUUUUCUAAUUGUGUGAUUUAUUUUCUGACCAUUAAGAUUUGAGAGUUUUUAAUAUAUUCUAUAUGUUAGAUGUAUAGUUUGUAAAUAUUUUCCUUCAGUCUUAAGCUUGCUUUUUCAUCUUCUUAACUGGUCUUUCACAGAGCAAGCAGUUUUAAUUGUGAUGAGGUCCAAUUUAUUCAUUUUUUUAUGGAUUGUGCUUUUGGUGUCAAGGUUAAGAACAUUUAUGUAGCCUUAGAUCCUGAAGAUUGUUUCCCAUUUUUUUCUAAAGGUUUCACAAUUUUACAUUGUAAAUCUAAUUACAUUAUGUGUUAUGAGUUACUUUCUGUAUAACAUGAGAGAUCUGGGUGGAGGCUCAUGUUUUUGCCUAUGAGUAUGCAAUUACUGCAAUAAAAAUGCCUUCAAUUUUGGCAUAUCUAUUUUUUUUUAAUUCAAUACACGUUUACUGUCAGAACUUACUUUGUGUGCUAUCUCCUCAGAAACAUGUAUGCAGGUCAAGAAACAAUAGUUAGAACUGAACAUGGAACAAUGGACUGGUUCAAAAUUGGGAAAGGAGUACAUCAAGGUUGUAUAUUGUCACCCUGCUUAUUUAACUUAUAUGCAGAGUACAUCAUGUGAAAUGAAGGGCUAUAUGACUCACAAACUGGAAUCAAGAUUGCUAGGAGAAUUAUCAACAACCUCAGAUAUACAGAUGAUACCACUCUAAAGGCAGAAAGAGAAGAGGAACUAAAGAGUCUCUUGAUGAGGGUGAAAGAGGAGAGUGAAAAAGCUAACUUAAAACUCAGCAUUCAGAAUAUGAAGAUCAUGGCAUCUGGUCCCAUCACUUCAUGGCAAAUAGAUGGGGAAAAAGUAGAAACAGUUACAGAUUUUAUUUUCUUGGGCUCCAAAAUCACUGCAGAUGGUGAGUGCAGCCACAAAAUUAAAAGACACUUGCUCCUUGGAAGAAAAGCUAUGACAAACCUAGACAGCAUAUUAUAAAGCAGAGACAUCAGUUUGCCAACAAAGCUCCAUGUAGUCAAAGCUAUGGUUUUUCCAGUGGUCAUGUGUGGAUGUGAGAGUUGGACUGUGAAGAAAGCUGAGCACCAAAGAAUUGAUGCUUUUGAACUGUGGUGUUGGAGAAGACUCUUGAGAGUCCAUUGGGCUGCAAGGAGAUCCAACCAGUCCAUUCUGA